rnacentral:tRNA from 1 species
GGGUCUAUAGCUUAGUGGAAAAGCUGCUGGCUUUUAACCAGUAGACCGAGGUUCGAUUCCUCGUGGACUCA